AGACCAUCCAAGAAGACAGUGCAGCCACCUCCGAGAGCCUGGAUGUGAUGGCGUCACAGAAGAGACCCUCCCAGAGGCACGGAUCCAAGUACCUGGCCACAGCAAGUACCAUGGACCAUGCCAGGCAUGGCUUCCUCCCAAGGCACAGAGACACGGGCAUCCUUGACUCCAUCGGGCGCUUCUUUGGCGGUGACAGGGGUGCGCCCAAGCGGGGCUCUGGCAAGACCCUUGUGCUCCUGGCCUGACUUGGAGGACACUGUCCACCCCUCAGCCUUGGCGCCCAUGGAGGCUUCUGGAAAGACCUGCCCUGCCUCUGAAUCCACCAUCACCCAGCACACUGGCGUUUAGGAAGCAAAGCAUUUUGUGCCAUGGGAAAGCACAGGAGGAAGAACCAAAAAUGCUUGGCUCAGGUCUCAUGGCACUGCGUCAUAGCCGUGGACCUGGGGCAGGUGUCUGUCUUCUCUGAGCUUCCUUCCCUCUCCUGUGAAACAGCAAUGGUGGCAAAAGCGUCACCUGUCCUGCAGAUGCUUUGGAACGUUGUGCUGAUCAAGCAAGAAAAGCAAUGCAAAGGCCCCACAGGAGC
rnacentral:lncRNA from 1 species